UCUUCGACAAUGACGAUGCUCUACCUCCGCCCUCUGAAUUAUGCAUAGCUACUCCUGUAUGUUCAAACCCUCAAGCAGCCAAGUAGUCUUCGAGUCUGUGGAGGACUGGAGGUGGCGGGUUUUGUUUGGUAAUCACAAAGUGACAUGGUGGCCAUUAUAAGCAAUAUGUCUCCAUGAGCAUUUAUUGGAUAUAGGUUGCAUGUCCACGGGAAAUGAACAUUUGUAAAUGACAUUCUGUUUAUUUGACUCUCUGCAUUAACAUUUGUCAGUUUU
rnacentral:lncRNA from 1 species